AAACUGCUUCAUUACAGAUAUUGCCAUGUAUGCUUAUACUUAAGCAUACUUCCUGGAAGAAAUAGCCACCCAGUUCAAACAUGGUAUCAUUAGCCAUGUGUUUCCCCCAUAAACUAUCCUAAAAAUGCUAAAACUAUUAUUAAACAAUUCUUUUUUGUUCUUCUUUCUUUCAUUUAUACAGUACUUUCUUAAUAUUAGAUUUAGAGUGGCUCCAAAUCAUAUUGUACAUAAAUAUUCACAUACAUAUUCAGCAGCGUUAAAAGUUGCCUGUCAGGAAUUUUUUAAGCAUGUAAGCUUAAAAUGUAUAUCAUAUCAAGUCACAGCUACAAAAUCAUGAAUGUUUAUAAAUCUAGCUCUUCAUCCUACCAUCACACUCCAUGAUUUGCUUAGCCUGGCUUGUAUUUAUAAAGCUAAGGAAUGCAGGUUUGCUAUAAAAGUAAGUAACAAAGUUACUUUACAUAAAGGGGGGGGGGGGGCUGCUAGCCAAUAACAUGAAAAGGAAGGAAACGGAAAAUAAAAGAUGUUUAUUUCAUGCAUAUGAAAUUGGUGGCUAUAUACAUGUACUAAAUAAAUAAAUAAAUAAAACUUCCAGUGGGACUUUCUGUAUUAAUAUUAACCCAAAUACCCACCCAAGUUCUUCUCUUUCACACCCCAUUCUUUCUAGUUCUUGUACAAAUGUCAGAAGUAAUCAACAAGUAAAAGAGAAUGUGAAAAUAAAAGAAAAUUAAUAUUUCUACUAUCUGUACUAAACGGGUCUCAUUACACAUUGCUUCCGGACAGAACUCAAGAAAUCCUUCAUGGUCAGUAAGACAGGUCAGUUUCAACACUCAAGCACAUAAGUAAAUGAUAAUGAAAAGCUCCAGUUAUCUAAACCAACAGAAGCAUAGAUAAUGAAAAGGCAAAUACAGGUUUACUACAACCCCAUCAAAGACUUAGAUAAACCGCCCAGAUCAUAAAAAAGCAGCUUCUGGGAUUCACUCUCUAGAUUAAAAACCUGAAUCUGAGAUACAAUGCAAAUACACACGCACAGAGAGCACAAUAUACCCAGGCUCAGUCAUCCUAAAAUGAUCAUAUUUCUCUGCCAUCCAUCAGAAUUAAGCUGCUUAUGGAUGCAUAACAAUGCUGUAUAUGCAGUUGCCCGUAGCAACAGGCAUACAAUUGUACAGCUAGCUCCCCUUUCCAGAAGCAGCAGCCGCCAAAGGAAAAGAGUUUGCAAACAGCAGGACAGGGGACAGCAGAAAGAACAAGCAAAAGAGCCAGCAGAGGCAAGGAAGGAAAAAGGGCCCUGAGAGCAGCAGGAAGAGAUGAAAACAGAAGGGACAGAAAAGGCCCAAAAGUGGGAGCGCAGAUCCCAGGACCAGGCAGCAGCAGCAGGAAUUGGAUGAAAGGGAAAUCCCCCCCCAAAAAACCAAAAAAAACCGGGGGGUGGGGAAUUGGGGUUAGACGCGGGUUUAACAAAAGCCCCCUUGCAACUAUACAAGCAAGUUCAAGCGACAGAAACUUGUCGCCAAAAGCCAGCGUGUCUUUCUUUAGGCUUGAACCCAUCUUCCCCAUCCAUAACUCAACGAGGCCACCUCUUCAUCUCCAUUGCCCAAGCACUCUAAAACUAGCCCUUCCCACUCCCUCGGGUCAGGCUCGUCACCAGCAGCGUCCGGCAAGUCGUGCAGGAGCUGCGCAAAACUUAAAAGAGAGAGAGGGGGGGGGAGGAAGGGACACUACUGCACAUCCCUGUCCUUAAGUUCAGAAGCGUGGGCCUGCCGUCCCUUCAUACACAUUCCACCAGGGCCCGCAUCUCAUUCAUUUGUUAGAGACAAAUUACACGCCACGAACGGGUCUGAGAAACGAUUGCCCGGGACUCGUGGGGGGAUGGGUGGGGGGGAGAAUGUAAAACCCAGGGCUGCAAGCUCUUUGGAGAGGUCCGUCCGAAGAACCCGCGGACAACUCCACAGUGCCCCCUCUCUCUCUUAAGAACAAUCCUAAGCAAAGCAUCAACCUGCCAGCGCCUACAAGACCCGCUUCGCAAACGAGCCAUCGGGUUUGCACCGGGGCUCGAACCUACGCGCGAGCGCACGCCUCGGCCUCGCGCGCCCUCGUCCGCCGGACCGCCGCGGCGAGAUUGGGCAGCCGGCGGGCACAUGCCCAGAGAGGUACAGAGUUCACAAGUCUAGAGACAGAUGGAAAAUAUACAGCUUAAAUCAGGGGUCCCCAAUCCCCAGUCCAUGGAUUGGUACUGGUCUGCAGUCUGUUGGGAACCAGGCCAUGCAAGCAGCGAAUGACUAUGCACAUGCGCAGGAUCUAGGUUGUGCACGCAAAACCAUCUCCCCCCUGCUAACCCGUCGCUGCCAAUACCACUUCUGCCUGCCUGUGGAGCCAGAAAGAUUAAUUUCUUGGAAGCAUGAGAGCGGAUACUAGUUUACAACUCUGGGUACCAAGAAUGAAGAGCUCCAAGAAGAAAUAACCACAUUAGAUUUGUUCAUCAGUUCUUCAAAAACCAGUAAGAGAGUCUUAUGGUGGGGAGCCGCUAUAUACUUAUGUCAGAAUCAACACUCUCGGAGCAACCAAAAGGGCCGUGGUGGCUCAAGGCUGUAAGAAGCCUGUUAUUAAAACCAGCUGCCUGCAAUUACUGCAGGUUCUAGUCCCACCAGGUCCAAGGUUGACUCAGCCUUCCAUCCUUUAUAAGGUAGGUAAAAUGAGGACCCAGAUUGUUGGGGGGGCGAUAAGUUGACUUCGUAAAUAUACAAAUAGAAUGAGACUAUUGCCUUACACACUGUAAGCCGCCCUGAGUCUUCGGAGAAGGGCGGGAUAUAAAUGUAAACAAAAAAAAAACCCAAAGGAAUGGGAAUUUUGCUUCAGUAUUACAAGCUACACUGCAUUACAAUUAACUGGGCAGAUGAGGGAAGAGGCGGAGCCCCAGCAAAAGAAGUUAUACCAUCAAUCAUUGCUUCUCAAAGACAACACAUUCAUACAACACAUUGAAGUCAGUUGUAAACUUAGCAAGUCCAUUUGCACGUGCUAAGAUUGUUAGUUCUAAACUUGGUUACAUGGUGUUUCAUCUUGUUAUUUUGAUGUUGACCUGUGAGGGUUUUCUUCUUUUAAAAAAGGGGAGGUUGUAUGCUGUAUAAACUGGAUAAUUAAAUUUUGUGCAUAUGGUGCAAAACCAUGAAUGCAUUAAUUCAGUAAUCAUGUUAAGCAUGGUAUGGGAACAUAGCCAGAGAAUUAAUGCAACUGUUAAAUAGGGAGUUAGACAGGUUUCCAUAAAAAUGUUUUUUUACUAUGGAGCCAGAUCCAUCUUUAUGGUUUCUUGAAGGGAUGCCUGGGCACGAUAAAGUGUUUUUUUAGAGGUCAUUCCAGAAAUUAUAAAUUCACAUAACAUAGGACUGCAAGCCAAAUUGAGGGAAACCCAAAGAUUUUUCCCCGUAAGGCAUGUCUGAUUUCUAACACUUGGCAAUGGUGAUGGCUAAGCUGGAAUGAGAAAGAUCUUUAACGAUUGCACAGACUGUCUGAGAAAUAGAUGAAUGGCUGAGUCCAACUUGUUGAGGAUUUAGUUUUGGCAAGAAGACAUGAGUGUACAAAUACAUACCUGAGAAUAUGCAGUAGUGGCAUAUAUUCACAAUAGAAGUCUAAGCAAAUUUAAGCAUGAAUGGCUUCCAUACAUACUAUAUACUAAUAAAGGAGAAUAUUUGAAGCUCAGGGUUCAAAGAACUAGCAUUGAUAAUGUUACCUAGUUUGAGUAAUAAAACAUCUGCAAGAAAGCAACGAAGCAGAUAGAGCACUAAGGAUCCCUCAUACCAUAUACUACACAGCAAGGAAAAUAAGUAUGUAUGGAAAAGAGAACUGACUGAAAUAACUCUUAUUUCAGAAAAAACUGAAAUCGGAGACACUAAAAAUUUGAAAUCUUUAGAACUAUUUAGCAUUAUACCGGUAAUAUGAUAAAGAGGAGGGAAAUACUAUUUAUAAAGUUUUUAGUUUUUUAGUUUUUGUAUUUUUAAACAACAAAUAGUGGCUAUUUUAUCUGAAAGACUUACCAUACAUUCUUAUUUAUACUGGUCAAAUAAUACAAUUUACUGUUUUCUAUAAUUAAUUUCUAAUCAAGCAUACAACUGUACAAUAUUGGUACCUCUUGCUCACUUAUAUAUGUUACAUUUAUAUAUCAAUUAAUUAUAUGUACAUACUGUAAGAUGGGCAAGCUACACAAAUUUAACAAUUGCAUGCAUGCGUUUGGAGACAUAGGGCAAAACUGUUGUUUGUAAUAGAAUGAUAAACGGAUGUUUUGCAAUAUUUUGAAAAAACAAUGAAAAUAGGAUGCAUAGUGCUAUCUCUCCUUCUUUCCCCUUUCUGUCUUCCUUUUCUUUACCAUUUCCACCCAGAAAAUGAGUGAAUAUGUAUGUGUGUGUGAAAGAGAAGGACACAGCAACAAAUGCCUUACAAUUGUUAAACUAAAGUGUGCUUGAACUAGUACUGAGCAUCCUUGAAUUCAAAGAGUGCUGGCAAAUCUUUGAACAUUUAUCUGUUUUUCAUUAAAUAUUAAAAUUACAUUGUUACAACUUCAAAGAAAAGUACAAGUUUCUAGUCACUUAUCAAUGUCCCAUAGAUGCUGAUAAUAGCAGCUACUUGGCUCAGGGUCAUUUCUGGCUGAUUAUAGUGUGUCUUUUAUUUUAAAAAAUAUUGCUUCCCUGGUAAGGAAGUCCAUAUAGCUAUUUCCUCUUGGGUUUUUUUAAGUUAAAGCACAUCUCAAAUAUAUCAGCAUGAAAGAUUGUAGCAGCAUGACAUUUGCUGUCCCCAUUCCAGGUCUCUCUCUUGCCUCUGUUACUUCUCUUUCAAGUCACUGCAGUCUUUUCCCAUGGGGAAAGUAUAAAUGCAGAAGGCUCUUGGCAACAAAUUCAAGAAGCAGAACUCUUUGCUGGCAAUCAAUGUGCCUUUUCAGUGAGCACUACGUACCUGAUGUUCAACAGAAUUAGAUCUACAGCAUUUUCAAAGCUUUAAAAGGCAGGAAACCAUUUAAUGAUGUUUUCAUAAAUCUUAAAGUGUUCAGAAAUCAAAAAGAGAAAACGUGCAUGAUAAAGAAUAUGUUCCCCUGUUUUUUGUCUGACAAAUAACAGCACUUGUUGAAGGUUGAAUUUACCUUCAUGAGAGAAAGACAGAGAGAGAGAGAAUAGUUAGCACAACUACAAUUGACUAUGUUUAUAUUAGCAAUCCACUCUUCUCCUCCUAACUCCUGUCUUUCUUCUUGCUACCUAGAGAUAGGCCAAGUAUAAGAAUUAUUAUUUUCUGAUUUUAAAAUUUUUCAGUGAUAAGGAUUGUGUGAAACAAUCUCUGCUGUUACACCUCAAAGCCACUCAGUAGCUCCAUUUAUCACACAGAUUUGAACAUGAUGUACGAUGCAUAUUUUUAACAUCACUUUCAAGAAACUCUGAAAUAAUAUUUUCAAAGCAUAACAGAAUCUAAAAAAGAAAGUAACAUUUUCCAUUUUCAGAAGUAGGUUUGUAAUUUUGAAAAUACUUGAUUCUUUUCUUUAUAAACUUGUUAAAGAGCUUUGCAAUCUUGAAUACAGUACAAUCAUUGUACUGUAUUCAACUAUGAAUACAUUUGCAAUUUGCUGAACUUAGUAUGUCAUUUAAUAAUGAAUCUCUAAACUAGAUUAAAAUGCUGAAUGUUCACGUUUCCUUUCUUUCAAAUUGUAUUUUCACACGUGCAGUGAUAUAGUUGUGUAUAACUGCUGUGUUCACUGCCCUUCAUCUGAACCAUGGAUUAUAGUUCAAGAGCACCAGACAAUAACCAUCUGCCUUACACAGAUGGGAUCGGGUAAAAUCAAAGAUGGACUUUUUCUAAUCCUUAAUAACUUUUCAAGUUGAGUGCAUCUGAAUAUAAAGAGUUCAUUUCUCAGAAUGAAAGCAAUAAAAAUGAAGCGGGCUCCCUAAAAUCACACAUUUAACGCUUAAUGAGAAAAUAUAGCACAAAAGUUAGUUGAAAAAUGGGCAGCUAUAUGAAUGUUUAAAUAAAUGCAUACAUACAUACAUGCAUGCAUACAUGCAUGCUUUACAUGCAAACAUUCUGCUAUGUUUAUGCAUUUUAGCUUUAAAAAUACCUGUAUUUAAAAAGUUGUCUGAUUCUAGUGAAUUGUGCAAAUUAGAAGAGUUAAUGUUUAUAAUAGAUUCUGCUCCCAGUGAUCUUCUUGAAAAUCCUCUGAUAAACCUAUUACUAGCCUACCAUUGGCAAUAUUCCUACUUAUUAGGUGCUAAAAGGGCUUUUUGCAAACCGUGAAGUAGGUAUAACUGGAAAUCUUCUGAUCUAAGAUUCUCUGUCUCCUGACCUCCCCACAAUUAUAGCAGACCAAUUCUUCCCUCCUCCCCUCCCCAUUAGCUUAAGUGGGGGCCACUUAAUGAGAAUCUCUAAAAUUGAAAACCCCAUUAAAGCCCUUGCCUUCCUUUCCUAAAUAAAUUGCAUGAGCUUUGAAAAUGGUGGACAAACCAUCGUAUCAUAUUCCAUCAACCGCUAGCUUGAAUCAAAAAUCAAGAAGUUUUUUGCAACCAUAGUUGCUUCAUUCUGUAAUUCUCUGCAAAAUUACAUGAGACGUGAACAGUCCACUGACAUUAAUGUAUCAGGUCGCUCGGCAGAUUGAAAAUCAAUUCCUGUGUAAUCCACAUUCAGUCAAAUGCCCUGGUUGCUUCAUUCCCAGCCUCAAGUGUAACAGCCAUAUUUAAUAUUUUAAUAUAAUUGCCAAAUAAAUUGCUGCAAACUAGCUAGGAAAGGGAGGGAAAAGUCUGGAUCAUGACUAUCAUACAGUGGCUAAACCCUAGCAUAGAACAUUAUAUUUGGUUUCCCCUUUUUCCCCUUUUAUUCUGAGGCUUGCAUAAACUAACUCUUAAAUUGCAAUCCUAUCCUGACUAUUCUGAAGGAAGCCCCACCAUUCUCUACUAAGAUUAUUUUGAUCUAUCCCUUGGCUAAUUAUAGUGAAUAAAAAGAGUUAUCAACUAUGCAAUGAAACAAAUUUGGGGUGGGGGAUGGGGAAACAGAGGAAUUAUAGAAGAUGCAUCUUCAUUCAGCAUUUUGAGAACCUGCUGUCAGAGGAAUGUGCUAGUGCCUCCUCAAACAUUUGAAGUAAUAGCACUUGAGAUGUCUUCUCUUCUCACAGUGUUAUGACAUGAUGGCAUGAAAUGUGCUCUUUGAGGAAGUGAAGGCUGAUCCACGCAAGUUGUUUGCCCCAGCAUGAAUCCAGGCCUCUGAUAAUUUCUUGAGGCAAAGAAUGCAUGAUUUUUUUCCAUAGCCCAUAAGGAGGGCAACAGCUGCCUGCCUUUUCCUGGGCCUCAUUAAGUCACGUUUUCUGAUUCGUCCUGGCACAAUCUCUGCUGUCCACAAUUGUCUGCUGUGCUCUUCAUUGUAUGCAAACACCUACACAGGCAAACCACCUGCAGGACGGAGAUGCCUCUACUCUCUGAACAGUGCAUUCUUGAAACAAGGUCAUCAGCUGAAAUCCCAGCUUCCUUUCUGUUUAAUCUUACUGGUAUAAUAAAGAAUUUGUGGGUCUUAAAAACAAAAAAGUAGGUGAAAUUGACAAGCUCCUUCCUUCCUUCCUUCCUUCCCUCCCUCCC